rnacentral:rRNA from 1 species
GGUAACUUUUGGUGCUUGCACCGAAAGACGAGUGGCGAACGGGUGCGUAACGCGUAUGCAAUCUACCUUUUACUAGAGUAUAGCCCAGAGAAAUUUGGAUUAAUCCUCUAUAACAUCAUUAAUUCGCAUGAAUUUAUGAUUAAAGCUUCGGCGGUUAAAGAUGAGCAUGCGUCCUAUUAGUUAGUAGGUGAGGUAACGGCUCACCUAGACUACGAUAGGUAGGGGUCCUGAGAGGGAGAUCCCCCACACUGGUACUGAGACACGGACCAGACUCCUACGGGAGGCAGCAGUGAGGAAUAUUGGACAAUGGACGAAAGUCUGAUCCAGCUAUGCCGCGUGCAGGAUGACAGCCCUACGGGUUGUAAACUGCUUUUAUACAGGAAGAAAACCUUCGACGUGUCGAAGCUUGACGGUACUGUAAGAAUAA